rnacentral:misc_RNA from 1 species
GAUGAAGAACGUAGCGAAAUGCGAUAAGUAAUGUGAAUUGCAUAAUUCAGUGAAUCAUCGAAUCUUUGAACGCACAUUGCGCCCAUUAGUAUUCUAGUGGGCAUGCCUGUUCGAGCGUCAUUUCAACCCUUAAGCCUAGCUUAGUGUUGGGAAUCUGCUGUAUUGCAGUUCCUCAAAUACAACGGCGGAUCUGUAACAUCCUCUGAGCGUAGUAAAUUUUUAUCUCGCUUUUGUUAGGUGUUGCAGCUCUCAGCCGCUAAACCCCCCAAUUUUUGUGGUUGACCUCGGAUCAGGUAGGAAUACCCGCUGAACUUAAGCAUAUCAAUAAGCGGAGGA